rnacentral:rRNA from 1 species
UACGAAGGUGGCAAGCGUUACUCGGAAUUACUAGGCGUAAAGGGCAGGUAGGUGGUUCGGCAAGUCUGUUGUGAAAUCUCCCGGCUUAACUGGGAGCGGUCAACAGAAACUGCCGGGCUUGAGUAUAGGAGAGGGUACUGGAAUUCCCGGUGUAGCGGUGAAAUGCGCAGAGAUCGGGAGGAACACCAAUGGCGAAAGCAGGUACCUGGACUAUUACUGACACUCAGCUGCGAAAGCUAGGGGAGCAAACAGG